GGAUUGAACAGAAAAUGUAGUAUAAACAAGUGGAUCAACACUCCAACCAUCUGCAUUAGGGACUGAAUAAAGGAUGCCCUCUGUAGCUGGGAAUGUUAGAUCAGGCGGAUCAACAUUCCAUCAAUCUGCAUUAGGAUCUACCUUAGAGACACUCACUGGAGCUGUAAAUGGGAAGCAGGU